GUGCGUCAUCGCCGCGCGCGGCGGCGGCCCCGCCAUGCGGGCCCGGGUGCUGCGCGCCGCGCGCCAGGCCGUGAGGGCGGCGGGGCCGCCGUGGCGCGUCCUGUUCUUCGGCACCGACCGCUUCGCCGUGACCACCCUGCGAGCCCUGCGCGCCGCCGGGGAGCGCAGCGAGCGCCCGCUCGUGUCCCGGCUGGAGGUGGUGACCCUGCCCUCCCGCCUGCCCAGGGACCUGCCCGUCAGGAGCUGCGCCACGGAGCUCCGGCUGCCCGUGCACGAGUGGCCGCACACGGGACCCGCGGGGCAGUUUGAUGUGGGCGUGGUGGCAUCUUUUGGACGUCUUCUAAGCGAGGAGCUCAUUCUGCAGUUCCCAUAUGGCGUGCUGAAUGUCCAUCCCAGCUGUCUCCCACGAUGGCGUGGUCCUGCACCCAUAGUCCACACAGUGCUUCAUGGUGAUAAGGUGACUGGGGUGACAAUUAUGGAAAUAAGACCAAAAAGGUUUGAUGUAGGCCCAAUUGUUAAGCAAGAAGAGGUCGCUGUUCCUCCCCGCUGUACGGCACAGGAGCUGGAAGGGAUGCUGGCAGAGAUGGGUGCAAGCAUGCUGUUAGCAGUUUUGAAGAACUUGCCUGAAAGUUUAAAAAAUAAAAAAGAGCAGCCAAAAGACGGGGUAACGUUUGCUCCUAAAAUCUCUAUAGCGAAGAGUUGUAUAAAAUGGGAAGAGCAAACAGCUGCACAAAUAAUUCAGCUGCAUCGUGCAAUAGGAAGUAUGUUUCCUUUGCAGACACUCUGGAAGGGUACUACCAUUAAACUCCUGGAUUUUGUGGAAGUGGAUAAUAUCGCUGAUUUUUCUGAUCAAAUACAAAAUGGCUGUGAAGUUGUUCCUGGUUCAGUGCUGUUCCAUAAAAUGUCCCAAACAUUGAUAGCUCGCUGCAAGGAAGGCUGGGUUGGAAUCAAAACUGUUGUUUUAAAGAAGAAGCUUACAGCAGUUGACUUCUACAAUGGAUAUAUGCACUCUUGGUUCCAGCAGAAUCCAAGAACAGUUCAUCAGGAGUGCAGAUUUCAAACACUCAAACUUAGCACAGCAAAAAAGACUCUGAAAGAGAGGGGAAUAUUGGCACAGGAUAUAAAGCAAUAAAUGUAUUUUUUAAUGUCUGUUUUCCAAAACACAUGGUCCUCCAAGAAAUCCAAGCCUAUGAAUCAGAGUCAAAAAUUGGAAACAACAGCAAGGUGGAAGUCAGGCUCCUGUAGAGAAUUCCUGUUGUUCCUGACCGCAGACUCAGUGCACUUUGUGCUGCAGAAAUUCUGAAUCUGUUUUAGGUCAUGUCCGGUGUGAGACCUAUUGCUGGCAGACAAUAACCUGGCUCUCAGUAAAGCAUAAAGCAACAGGAAGAGUUUGCCUGUGUUUUUGGGAAGCUCGAGGUGGCAUGUGCCCAGAAUCCCUGUAGAUGGAGCUCGCUGCAUCCCUUUUGGGUGAAAACCAAGGACAGCUGGACAGAAGAUGGUGAAAAUCUGGUACAGAACGCCUUCAGUUAGUUGUUUAAUAGUGAAUAAUGUCUAAACCAUAUUUCAGCCAGGAUCCCAUGUACUUGUAACUUAAUCUUUUGAUCUGUGCAGAGUUUGCUAUAAGCCUUCUUUUGUUUUCUGUGUGAGAGGUUAUAAAAGAUUAGACCAUUCUGAGUUGUGUAAUGUCCUAGCUCUGAAUAUGCACAACUUUACCCAAGUCAUUUUAUGGAGCAAAGGAAGGUAAGAUUAAUUUAUUUUUUUAUGGAGAAAGUCUUUGGCAUGCUAUUUUUGGCAUGGUAGAGAAGUUUUAAAUGGAAUUGGUGUUCCCCAGGCAGCUGUUAGCCAAAAUGUCUCUUUGGAAACUUUGCUUUCACCUGGCUCUGCAGGGAUUUAACUCAGUAAGUAAUGAAAAUCUGAUUAUUUUUGCAGAACAGACAAAACAAAAAUGGGGCAUUCACUGAUGAAGUGUGGAAUAGCAUGUCAGGGUUGACUCUGGAGCACAGACACAGUGAUUUGAUCCCCAGUACCACUGAUGAGGUUGAGUACAGCUACCCUGGCCAUUGGAACGGGAUCUUAGUGAAAAAAAAAACAGUUGUCCUCCUCUCAGAGGAGAGAGGGAAAGCAACAGAGGUAUUCACAGACCCAAUGUCCACUAUGGCUCAGUUUAACAUCACUGGGACCAAAUUACUGGCAGAACUGCAACGUAUUUGGGCACCAGAAGGGCUCUGGUGUUGGAUAGGGAUGAUUUCAUCAUGGAUUUCAAAUAAAUGUUAGUAGAGAGAGUGAUAUUUCCUAGGGUGCUGGUGACUCACAAUUAGAUGAAUCUGUUUCAUAUUCCACAACCUUACUACUCCCCCUCCUUCCUAGGAAACCUCUUUAGUCCUGUUUUCUGAAUACAUUACAAAUAAAUAAAAAGUAUAAGUGACUAA